rnacentral:rRNA from 1 species
AACGAACGCUGGCGGCAGGCUUAACACAUGCAAGUCGAACGGGUGCAGCAAUGCAUCAGUGGCAGACGGGUGAGUAACACGUGGGAACCUUCCUAGGGGUACGGAACAACUCAGGGAAACUUGAGCUAAUACCGUAUACGUCCGUAAGGAGAAAGAUUCAUCGCCCCUAGACGGCCUGCGUCGGAUUAGGUAGUUGGUGGGGUAACGGCCUACCAAGCCUACGAUCCGUAGCUGANCUGAGAGGAUGAUCAGCCACACUGGGACUGAGACACGGGCCCAGACUCCUACGGGAGGCAGCAGUGGGGAAUCUUGGACAAUGGGCGCAAGCCUGAUCCAGCCAUGCCGCGUGAGUGAAGAAGGCCUUAGGGUUGUAAAAGC